AUGGCAGAGAAGCAGCAACAAGGAUCGAACGUGGAGGAGGGGAGCUCCAGGGCUGCGGGGAAGGUCGUCUGCGUCACCGGCGCCUCCGGGUAUAUCGCGUCCUGGAUCGUCAAGCUCCUUCUCGAUCGCGGCUACACCGUCCACGGCACCGUCCGGGACACCGCUGACCCAGAUAAAACAUGGCACCUGCGUGCUCUUGAUGGAGCAAACGAUAGGCUGCAGCUGUUCAAUGCAAACUUGUUAGAAGAAGGCUCUUUCGAUGCUGCCAUUGACGGUUGCGAGUGUGUCUUCCAUGCGGCUUCUCCAGUUUUCUUCACUAUCAAAGAUCCCAAGGCCGAGUUACUUGAAGCAGCAGUCAGUGGAACACUUGACGUUCUGCGUUCCUGCAAGAAAGCUUCUGUCAAAAGAGUGGUCAUAACAUCGUCCAUGGCUGCUGUUACCUUUAACGGGAAACCAAGGACCCCUGAUGUAAUUGUUGACGAGACAUGGUUUUCAGUUCCAGAGCUAUGUGAAAAGCACCAGCAAUGGUAUGUCUUGUCCAAGACCCUUGCAGAGGAGGCUGCGUGGAAGUUCUCCAAAGAUAAUGAACUUGAAAUAGUUGUAAUGCACCCAACAAUGGUCAUCGGUCCCCUGCUGCAGCCUACACUGAAUGCUAGUGUUGAAGUAAUCUUAAAUCUAAUCAAUGGGUCAUCUUCUACAUACCCUAAUAUUGCCCAUGGAUGGGUAAAUGUAAAAGAUGUGGCACUGGCACAUAUCCUUGCAUAUGAAGUUCCUUCAGCAGAUGGAAGAUAUUGCAUUGUUGAAAGAGUUGCUCACUACUUGGAGCUUGUCAAGAUCAUAAGCAAGAUGUAUCCGAACAUUCCACUCCCAUACAAGCGUGGAGAUGACGAGCCACUUUUUCCAACCUACCAAGUAUCGACGGACAAGAUAAGAAGCUUGGGUGUCGAACUGAUUCCUCUCGAGACAACUAUUAAAGAGACUAUCGAGAGCUUAAAAGAAAGGGGUUUCUUUGAAUUCUGA
rnacentral:rRNA from 1 species